rnacentral:lncRNA from 1 species
AUUUAAAAAAAAAUUUAAAAGUCAGCACUUCUUUCACAUCUAGCACCUAUAAGUUACUAUUCAAAUGUCUUGAUUUCAGCUAAGUUUUGAUGUUUCUUUUUCUCUUAAUAGUAUGUCAAAAGCAUUGUUCUCAUUUGAUAAUUUGUGUCCCGUUACAGUAUUUCAAAGGUAAAUGCAAACUAAUUUUUAGGAAGGCUUGUGAAAGAACUUUGAUUUAUGUGAAGAAAUCAAGAAAGACUAUACAUGAACAAAUCUCUAUUGGGAUAAACAAGUCUCUUCAACCACAAUAUGAACAACGGAAGAGCAGAAACCAAACAAGUUAGCAAACUUAUGGUAAGGUGACAGGACCUAAACUAGAGUUACAGAGAAAAGUUUUCCAGGAAAGAAUAAUGAAGUCAUUUGUAGUGAUAAAAAUCUUAUACACUACACCAAAUGUUACAGAUGUAUUCCGAAAAGUAAAAUGGGAGUUUCCUAUAUUCUGAUUUCAUUCUGCUAAUUCCACGGGAAACAUUAAAUACUUUAAACACUCUUGAGAUAUUUCGUAUCUAGCUAUACCUUGUCUCAAGGAAACAUCAAUAUUUUAUAAAUGUUUCUUAAAUAUAAGUAUUUUGUCUGAAUUCAUCUUCACUCUCUAAUCUGCUGGCUCUAUUGAACACCAACAGAGUUAAUGCUUUUAGUAGCUUUGUACCUUUUAAAGCUCUAUUAUGAAUCUUUCUAAUACAUAUGAAAUUAAUAUUAUAUUAGAAUUAUGUACAUUAUACAAAAUAAUUCAUAACCAAGAAAUAUUCAUACUAUAGAAUAAUUUAUUAUUAUAUAUAUGAAUAUUACAUUGAGACUGAACAAAUAACCACUCUGCUCCAAAUAUUACUCUCAAGUUCUCUGCCUUUAAUUAUUAUAGUCAAUUCAUAAAAUUCUACAUACAGUUGUACAUGGUGGGUUAUCAAAGUACUCCAUAAUCCAAAUGCAUCUAAAAGUAUUCCAAAUGCGCCUUUCAUUCUAGAAUACUAAAGGAAAGCGUUUGAAAGAAGAGGAAAGUAAAGCAGACUUCUAACUAUUUAAUUUAAACAUUGCCAUUCAGAUUGAAUAAUUUUUAAAUGAUGAUGCUCCACUCUUUGAUCUACAGACAAGGUUACAAAAGAUUUACAAUUAGUCCAAAAUCAGAGGAUUUUAAAUCUUAAAGGAGUUAAGUUUGUCUCAAUGAUCCAAGACUACAAAAUUUCUUGCUACAUUGGCAAGGAAAUAUGUUUAAAGCCGAGAACUAAAAUAGCUUUUUAAAAUUUAAAAAUUCCUCUGUUUCUUCUGAAUGUAAAACAGGCAAAAUGAUCCUGACUUCAAAAUGAAAUAUAUUGAUUGCUCUCAAAAGAUGUUUGACAAAGUUAAGUCAGUAUCUUCAAUGCUUUAACAGUAGGUAGAGGUCUUUGGGGUUGGAACUCAGGAUACAGUGACUAGGACAGAGUGCAUUCUUAGGCUAAUUAGUGCCUAGUCCUCUGGAGUAUUUUUUAAUGCCCUGAAUUUCAAGUUGUCAAACUGGUUUACAUAUUGAAUGACAUUUUGAAUCAAUAAAAAUGAGAAAAAAACAUUUAAAUUUGGUUUUCAUGACUCAUUUGAGAAUAAAGAUUUCCUUCAUCACCCUAAGUAAUAAAAGCUGAUAUGUCUUGAAACAACUAUAGACAAUCAGAAUGUGUUCAUUUAUAAAGUAUCACUGGUUUGUAUAUUUUAAUGCUGACCUUUGCCUGUGAACUAGAAAAUCAAGAUUUGUAGAGUCAGGUUGAUUUGCCUUCAUUUAAUUCCUGCAAAUGCAUUGGAAGUGGAUGGAUAACUUGGAACUUUUUCCAUACUGUUUUCCCCCUCACCAAGCAUUAAAUCUAAUUCAAAAUAUGUCUUUCUAAAAAACAAUAGUUUAUUUUUAAAACUAACAACUAAUUGUGUUAUUCCUUGUUGAUAAGAAAGUCACUUUUUAGAAACAAGAAUAUAGCUAUUGUGGCUUUGGUCGCUUAGGAUUCUCAUAUAUUUACACAUGGCAUUAUUCUUUUCAUAUACACCUACCAGAUUUCAAGCUAUUGGAUAUUUCCCUUGUACAACCUUUACAUCCUUUUUUUUUCCUUAAAUGCUCUGUACAAUCACAUGUAAAGUCAUGAGCUACAAACCUCAAUAAAAAUAUCAGUAAACAAGAAGUGAUGUAGUU